UACGAGGGGGGCAAGCGUUGUUCGGAUUUAUUGGGCGUAAAGGGUGCGUAGGCGGUUUGGCAAGUCUGAUGUGAAAUCUAUGGGCUCAACCCAUAGUCUGCAUCAGAAACUGCCGGGCUUGAGUAUGGGAGAGGUGAGUGGAAUUUCCGGUGUAGCGGUGAAAUGCGUAGAUAUCGGAAGGAACACCUGUGGCGAAAGCGGCUCACUGGACCAUAACUGACGCUGAUGCACGAAAGCUAGGGGAGCGAAUGGG
rnacentral:rRNA from 1 species